rnacentral:rRNA from 1 species
GCUCAGGACGAACGCUGGCGGCGCGCCUAACACAUGCAAGUCGAACGAGCGAGAGAGAGCUUGCUUUCUCGAGCGAGUGGCGAACGGGUGAGUAACGCGUGAGGAACCUGCCUCAAAGAGGGGGACAACAGUUGGAAACGACUGCUAAUACCGCAUAAGCCCACGGGUCGGCAUCGACCAGAGGGAAAAGGAGCAAUCCGCUUUGAGAUGGCCUCGCGUCCGAUUAGCUAGUUGGUGAGGUAAUGGCCCACCAGGGCGACGAUCGGUAGCCGGACUGAGAGGUUGAACGGCCACAUUGGGACUGAGACACGGCCCAGACUCCUACGGGAGGCAGCAGUA